GUGCACGCUGGCGGUAGGCCUCACACCUGCCAGUCGAACGGCAGCACAGUAAGAGCUUGCUCUUACGGGUGGCGAGUGGCGGACGGGUGAGGAAUACAUCGGAAUCUACUUUUUCGUGGGGGAUAACGUAGGGAAACUUACGCUAAUACCGCAUACGACCUACGGGUGAAAGCAGGGGAUCUUCGGACCUUGCGCGAUUGAAUGAGCCGAUGUCGGAUUAGCUAGUUGGCGGGGUAAAGGCCCACCAAGGCGACGAUCCGUAGCUGGUCUGAGAGGAUGAUCAGCCACACUGGAACUGAGACACGGUCCAGACUCCUACGGGAGGCAGCAGUGGGGAAUAUUGGACAAUGGGCGCAAGCCUGAUCCAGCCAUACCGCGUGGGUGAAGAAGGCCUUCGGGUUGCAAAGCCCUUUUGUUGGGAAAGAAAAGCAGCAGGUUAAUACCCCGCUGUUCUGACGGUACCCAAAGAAUAAGCACCGGCUAACUUCGU
rnacentral:rRNA from 1 species